ACUUGGCCCAUGGACAGCCACAAAGCACAAAACACAACACGAACUCAGAGAAGAAGCAAGAAUGGUGUCUUCCUGGCGUCUACAGAAGCGCUUUAUUUUUCCUCUAGAUUUCUUUUCUAAAAAAAAAAAAUUCAAAAACAAAAAAAAAAAAACUGACACAGACUUUUAAAGAGACGAUAGGGACUUUUAAAGAAACUUUAAACGAACUUCAGGUGAAAUAGGCAAGCAUGCUCUUUUAUUAAGCAUGGGAUGGGAGGAACAGGAGGAAGCAGCAGCAGGCGGGAAACCCAGCCACUGGGCUGUUCUGGAACCCUCGAGGGAAGAAUGAGGGAAGUAUUUUUACUCCCCACCCCAAGAAUAUUCCAUGUACCCCUGAGGACACGCUCCCUCCCAUCUUGCCCAUCUAGGUAGCUAAGGAAUGAUUUGCAAAAUGGGUUAUAAUCUCUAAAGAAUUUUUUGGAUAGCUUUGGCAAGGGAGUGGAGGACCGGCACUCUUCUGCCCGCUAGCCCCGCCCACUGCACUGCGUCUCUGGGUGUCCCCGUUUCAGAUGGCUAGACCCAGGUUCUGAGAUUCUCUCCAGGAAGUUGUCAAGCUGCCUCAGACUUGGUGGAAUGAAUAACUGUUUCCUGGGUCUCUGCAGCAUGACAGGAUGGGCAUUUGCUUGUUCUUCCCUAAGCAGGAGAAAGCCAGCCUCUGACUAUAAUGAUGGCCAUGGUGGUGGCCCUGUGGGAUAAGGGGACACACCAGGCUGUUCCAAAACUGAGAGUGAGUUGCUAUGCUUCUACAGUGAGGGAAAGAACUGCACACCCAUCAAGCUUUCCCCUCCCAUCAGGCCACCACCAGAAAGCAAGGGACCCACACCCACCCUGACCCCAGAAAAGCGACGAUUCCCUGCUUCCCCAUGGUGCUUAACAUUUUUCGCUCUGUUGCAAUUGCUUCUUUUGUGGAUCUGCGCUGGAGGGGCGUGGAAGCCCCCAGGAUGCUAAGUGGGAGGGGCUGGCAUUGGCCAGUGGUGCCGCACAGGUGCAGGGGCGUGGGAGCCAUCGUUGCCCCAGCUCCUAGCUGGACUGCCCGCCGACGCGUUCCUGGACCAGCCUCUCGCUGAGCGCCCACAGCGCCCGGGCCGUGUCUUCGCUCUGGGCUUCUGGCGAGGGCAGGCAGCGGCAGCAGUUGUUGAAGUACAUCCCUCCCAGGCCCUCCAGCUCCGGAGCCGCUGCGCAGUACACCGUGGUGGCAGCUCCCUGUUGCUGGAAUCAAAGGUGAAAGAAAAAAAAAAAAAAAGAAAGAGAAUGUGUAAGUCAAGGGAGAUGUCCUUCUGACUAGGGACCAGCCAGUCUCCCUCCGCCCGGGUCACCCGAGUUGGAUGUCACAUGGUCAAGGGUACUGAGCUCGAAGCCCAUGACCAUGACCGUCAUGGGAAGACAAGUUCACAAACUCCACUUGGAAAGCUUGUGUGACUUUCCACCCCUCCCACAGGAAGAAGCUUCGAAAAUAAAGACACUGGUCAAUACCUCCUGCCAGGUGCCUCUUCUGCGAAGAGAAAAGACAGAAUCCUUCCUAACACAUAGGCACACGUCCAUCGACCCUCGGCUUCCCAAUGUGUAAUGUAAUUUGACACUUAGAUCUUUCUAGAACUUUCUGUCUGGAUUAUUCACUCUUAAUUACAGCCCAUCAGGUAGAAAACCCGAGUGGGGCUAGAGGCAGAUCGGUCCUUUAUUCUUUGCCCAUGGUGCUGCUGGGGAAGAGUCUGCUAGGCUGUUAGAAUGUUUAGAACACACAGAGACAUGCUCCGCACACAUGCCCACACAGACACACGUUAAUAUGUCCAAAAAAAAAAAAAAAACUGUUCCUAAAUGCCGUAUUUGUCCUGGAUUUACAAUGGGACAGUGACUAAGGGGGUGUAUUUCCUUCAGGCGCACUUCAAAAGGCAAGUUGCAACGAAUGCCAUUGAUCACUCUCCAUCACCUGGCAUGUGACAGUUGGGGCUGUGGCUGGGGAUAUGUGUGCUGAUGGGGCACCCCGUCAUCUCGACUGACAGAAUACUGCCAGGAUGCUGUAAAGAGGGCAAGAAAUCACUUUGCUUUGCAGGCCAUAAUUAAAAAUAAUAGGCUGCUGCUCAUGGGGAGACACGAUACGCAUGGCUCUAAUUUAAAACCAAUACAGUUUACCUGGCACCUUAUGAUUAUUUAUGCGUAUCACGGCCAUUGCUGCAUCAACUAAUUAUCAGCUGAUGGGGAGGGGGUUGCCAAAGAGGACCGGAACAGGUGACUGCAGAUGGGGCGCCUUGAGGAAAACAUUAGGGAUGUUUGAUUGUGGGGGAAAUGAAUAUCCCCAGUCACCCAAAGGUCACCAUUUUCCAGCCCCUACACAGUGUAAAAGCAGGUUGCUUCUCAGAGGGGCAUCUGCCUAAAUGGUGAUUUGGUUUGCAUUUGCUGUGAUUGUACUCAGAAUCAUCAGGGGCCAGGGCCAUGCUAAGAACCAGGACCCCAAGGUGUUAUGAUUUUAGGAAAGUGGUAUAAAGCAGACUUGUUUUGUUGAUGUUGUGUUUUAUUUUGACUUCAAGGUCAGGGUCAGUGGUCACCUUUGAAUUGGACCGACCAUGGAACGGUUGAAUGCAGCCAAGUGACUAGAUUGUGGAACAGGUGUCAAGUGUGAGACACAAGCUUUGGUAACACCUGGCUGCUCAACUCCACGGGACAAGUUCCAUUAGUCUGGAAUUUGAGCCGACAGGACUUGAACUUAAUUAAACAGUCACUGGUUUGUUUCCUCCCCAGCCCCCUCACUGUGCCCACUCCCCAAACAGCCUGUUGAAGCCUUGGCUUCUGCAGUUUUUUUUCCCAACUCACUUGUGUGGCCAGAGUCUAAUGGAAGUGAGUUCGGGUCAUCCAAAUUUCCCUUUGAUGAAUUAUUAGUCUCAAUAACCCCCAGCUUAGCACCUGGCACAUUUACCUGAAGACCUUCCAGUGGUCUACCCUGCACCCCAAGCUGGAACAGGGACAUAAAGGGACAGAAAAGAAGAAGUGGGGACUACAAGGUUCACCCAGAUAACUAAGCCAAACAUCCCCCUCCCUGGUUUCCAGGAGAGUUCGCGUGGAGAUGGUGUUUGCAGCAAUUGUGGGUAGUCUGUCUUGGGUUCCCAUUUUACUUGGCAGCUGCAAAACCCACCAGGUCACGGUCAGGUGGUUUGCCAUUGACUUCCAAGUGGGCGAGAAUGCAGUCAGUUCAUACCAAGGUCUAGCCCCUUUUCCCCAAUCCCUGAGAAGUCAUGAUAUCAGUGUUGGUGCAUCACCAGACUGGCCUUCCACAGGCCCUAAGACCCAGGAGGCCAAUUGGGAAAGCAAAGCAGAACCCUUUCAAACCCAUGUUGUAUCCACAUAUUCAAGGUUGUGUUUUGCCACUCUGCGCAUCUAAAAUGGUCUUGUGUUGCCCUCUGGCCUUGAUGGACUGCUAUUUCUGCAAAGAAACUUUGUAGUCACUUUGGAGAGCAGGGAAAUGUACCUUCCCAGCAUGGAAUAUGCAAGCAUGGCCACUGGCCUCAUUUUGGGUGAGCUGACAUUUGGCUACUAUGCCAAAAACCAUGACUUUCAGAAAGCCCAGUUUUUUGUUUUGUUUUGUUUCUUAUCAAGAGUUGGCUUUGGUUCCUGCCACCAGGUUUGGAGUGGCAUAUAAUCUAAACUUCAUUGCCGGUGGCUCUGGCUUUGAGAAACAGCACAGGAGGGCCCCUGAAAGCAAGAUCACCUUCUCCAAAGAUCAGCUGAAUACAUUUGGCAAAGUCUCCCUCUGACUUGGCAUGGUCCUGCCAUGCUGGACAAUAUCUGUUGGCCCCAUGCCCGCUACUCCUUGGGCUUCUUGGGGAAUUCUCUUUCCAGCUAUCCUAAUGGCAAGCUCUGAGUGACAUCUUUCUAUGAUCAGAUGUGACGACAGUUUAAUAACAAGUUCUUGUUUUUCGCUCAUCAGCUUUUUGGUCUGUGUAUCAUCAGCAUGAGACUGAGCCACGUUAGCGAGAUCUCAUUAGUAAACAAGUUGGCACUGCUGAUACAAGAUGAAACAUUUUUAAACUGAUAAAAAAAUUUUUUAAAGAAGCACUUUAAUCACCAUCAAAUGACUUUCACGCCACUUUUGGGGGCAUCGCUACAUAAUUCAGAAAAGAUGAAAGAGCCGUAUGAAGGAAGUAAUGUUAACAACUCUGGUGUAAAAUAUCUGUCACUAUUGCUACUGAUCCACUGUGAUAAAAUAAUAACACCUUGACAUAUAAACACUGGCUGCAGCUGUGGGUUCCCCUAAGUGAUUUUUUUUUUUUUUUGAGAACAAUUUAUCAGUAGGUUGCAAGCAGCUGCUGAUCACGGGACCUUCGGGGAAGCAGCACCUCCGUCCCCUGUGAUGGCAAUGAGGCAGGGUGUUGACACGGGACUGAUAAUUUCUGGGAAACCCAGCAGAAUCUUCAAUCAUGCCUGAACGCCAUUUCUGAUCUAGUCAAACAUUUGUGAGCUUCCAGAGGAGAACUGUGCCAUCCAUCUUUCUAGUGUAUGUAAAAUUACCUAGGAUUCUUGUUCAGGAUUAAGCUAAGAGCAUCCUUGUAAUAAGGGUGCAUCUUUCUCUUUCAGAAGUCAUUUGUCAGGUUUGCGGUGCAAUCUUCCACUAGAGAAAGGUGGGAUUUAGGAAGCAGUUGCUGUGUGUUUGUAGCGGAGGCCCUGAGAUCUAAAUUAUCCAUCCUUCCAGAACCCUUGUUGGGAUGAAAAUGUUAAGUAGCCUCUUUUCAUCAACAUUUAUUUGAUAACUGCUAGUCAUCAAUUUGUAGCUGUCAGCACAGAAUAUAAAUGAAUAUUGACUCCUCUAAAGGAAAAGUACAGAGGUUUCUGAUAAACAAUACGUUGUAAAGGAAAAAAAAAAUCCGCAUAUUGACAAGUGUAAUGCAUCAGCUAGGACUCUGGUAUAAUACUUACGUUCUGAUAAGGACACAUGAUACAAUUAAUGUUUAGUUUUCAGGUUUCUCUGCUUUAAUAUGCAUGCUUAUUUAAAAGAAAGGAUAGAUUCCUGUCUUCAAGUAGAUGUAACUAUGGAAUGUAUUUUAAAAUAAACACAGAUUCAUGGCGUAUCCACAUAUUCAAUGAUGGCAAGAGCAGGGGACAUUCUAAGAUUGCUUUAUCACAACCUAUCGAUGCCAGGACAUUGCACGGCAGAUGCUGAAUGCAUUAAUGUACACAAAAAGUAGAGUCAUGAAAGGGAACGGGGCACUUAGCUGAUCCGGCUUGGAACCCCAAAGGCCAGGAAGGAGGGCAGUGGCCAGAGUUGAACUCCUGGGACAAAGAGGUAAUCUGAAGUGAGCCAAUGUAGCAAAAAGGAAAGACAGGGGCCUCUUCAAACCUCACAGCUUUCCUGAUUACUCCUGGGGGGUCUGUUAGCCAGAGCACACACUCCCCAAAGGCAGAGCCAGCCAUCAAGUCCAGGGGCUUGAAUACCCCAGGCAGGGUGAUGUUUCAUCAGGGAGGGGUCAGGGAGGGGGUGGAAUAAAUGGCUGCCAUGACUCCCUCUCCUUCCUUCCCCUGCCACAAGACAGGUGCAAGGUGGGCUGUGGAGUUCACCGGCAGACACCUUGGUGCUUGGGGCAGAGCUGCUUCUGCAAACCACCUGGCAUCAGAUUGAUCUGAAAGGCGACGACAGCAGCCCCCUCCAAGAGAUGGUGUGUUCCCCACCCACUGCCCAAGAGCCCUCUCUGCAGUGGACACAUCGGCCACACGUUCCACCAGUUCACACAGCAGCGCAGUUUGCACAGGAAUGGCGCUCACGGCCUCUCUGAUGACAGGGACCGAAACAAUCGGUGCCCUCUUCCCCCGCGGCAGCCUUGCGUAAUGGAAUUGCACAAGGCAGUUUGGAAGAAGCGCUAAUCAGCAAACAGGCCAACAUCUGCCAAAAUCAGGGAAGGGAGAAGAAGAGAACAGACAUCUACCCUGGAGAGGACUCCGCCCCCCAAACUCUGUUCUGCUUUCCAGUGAAUUCCAGCCAAUGGGGACCUUUCAUCAGGUCACAAUGACUGGCACUUAAAGAGAAGUUACCAUUUGCCAGGCCUCCCCAAAGAACCUUGUAAGAAUCAUAUUCUAACCCUCACACCCUCUCAGCGAGCCAGGGACCGUUAGCAUCCCCAUUGACAGAGAAGCCCCAGAGACCAGAGCCAUUGUCCAAAGCCACAUAGAUACCAACUAACUCCAGAAUCCAUAGGAGUUGGUACAGGAGUCUUCCUUCCAAAAUAAAUGACACAGAUAUUGCCAUGUUGCCCAUCUGCCCAUUUCCUCUUGUCUCCCAUUCGACUCUCAGGCAGGUCACAUUUGGCCAGAGUGAUCCCAGGCGUCGCCUCCAUGUGUUGACUUGUCGUGUGUUCCCCUGAGAAGUGUUCAAAGGAGAUUUUCCAUUGUUGAUUUAGCCGGUGAACUAAAUUGAAAUCAUAUCCAUUUGGAUUAACAAAAACAAAGACUCAGCGUCCCCUUGGAUGAUUCAAUAGCAAACGAACCUUAAUAAAGAGGUCAUCUGAUUUUAAAUGCUACCUCCAGGCACUUGAUUUACCAAGCUAAGAAACCUACUCCUCAGUGCAUGAACAUCAAAAUCCGUGAAGACUAAGUCAUCUCUGUGACCUUUCGUAGGACCACGCUCCAACACGCUCCGUCAGAUUUGCAGGGGAAAGGUGUAGUCCACCCCACCCCACCCCAACAGGUCUCCAACAAAUUAAUUUCUACAAAUUUCUAACAGUUGAAUCCGACAGAGGCCUUGGACAAUACAGACUUAGACGCAUGCAAAUACUCCCUGUGAAUAUUGAAAUUCAACUUUCUUCAUAAGCCCUCAGGAGCUUUGCUAACUUACAGGCUGUUCUUAGCGUUUCUUACAGAUGGGCGUGCGCUCUGCUUCUCAUGUGGAAAAACUGAACAUCAGGAGCACAGAUAUUUGUUUUCGGGCUUUGAAAGUGUGAGAGAGUGUUUUGGAGAAGCUGUUUGGACCACAUGGAGCCUCUGCGCCCCACGGAAGGCAACACCCCCACUUUAGCCCGUGGGCCUGACAACGCUUGGCCACAGGUGAGCACUUUCUUUGCUAAAAACAGGCUGACAAGUGUCGACAGGCUCAGGUUCCCUUUCAGUUGACUGUCCCCACCAAGGUGAAGAAUGCCAUUCCCCAGGUGACAUUGAAGACACAGUCUGUGGCCAGGGUUUAAUGGCAGUGGCUCUGAGGGACAGCCAAGCAAUAGGCUACACCAAUCUAUCAGUAAAUGCAAUUGGUCCAAGCACAGACCACGGCCCAAAUGUGCAGAGGACACACUGAGCAAGCUGGAGCAGGAGAAAGAAGGUCAUCUUUCAAAUGACAGCCGUAAGCUCCGAGAGAAGCUCAUGCUGACUGGGUGGGUGGGGGUGUGAGGACUUUCCAGUGUGCAGUAAAACAGGCACCCCAAAUAAGACACCCCUAAAUCUGAUCAAGUCCCUGACCAAACACAUGCAUUUCUAGCUCCAUCUCCGAGGCGUGUACAGAGGCUGGCUUAGGGCAGGGUGAGCUGAAAAGUCCCCAAGAGGGUUGUUAUCCCUCCUCUAAGAGGCACAAGACCAGGGGUUCCAGAAGGAACCUUGAAAAUAAUUCUUUAAAGACCAAAGAAUAUAAUUGCCUUCCUUAGCUUUAAAUUGGGGGGAGGAAUAGGCAGACAAUCCCAACUACCCAAGGACUCCAAAGCCGCCUUCGCUCUAGAGUGGGGGUGGGGGGCAGGGGCAGCUCUCAACUUCAGCUGUCCUGUGGACAGAGAGACCUGGGCGGGCUGCCAGGGCUCUGCUUUCAAGUCCAUGGAUUGUUCUAGAUGUUUCCUUGAAAUAAGUGAGGCCCUUUUCAUACCUUCCCCAUGUGCCAGGAUUUUCACCAUAAACGUUCCAAGGACUCCAUAAUGGAUUCGUGUCUUAAAGAAUGGAGGUACAAUAAUGAGAACUGUUCCCUUUUUCUGAGACCAGAGACAGGCUUGUUGGGAAGGGGUGGGGUUACUUUAGUGCGGGAAGGAAGGAGUGGGCUCAGUGCGACCCUCGGGGGUGAGUUUAUGCCUGUCAUAGGUGUUCUUGGACUGAUUGGACCUGAGGGAUUCUCUUCAGAAAUAAGAUCAUGGACUGUUGACGGUGCCUUCCAUCCAUGAGAGAAUUCCCCGGGCAUUCCCUGCUGACGUCAGCUGGUACCCACGUCGCUCUAGGUUCAGUCUCUCCUUGAAUGGGAAGUUCUCUUGCUGGGAUGGGAAACUGCUCUGGGGUAUCCGUUUGUCCACAGCUUCGUUGGCAUUGGCCAAGCAGAAGACAUUGGCCACCAUCUUCCUGAUAACAUCUUCCUUCCACGUGGGACAAAUCGGAUGGCCUGUCACUGCAAUUUCCCAUCUGGGCCACCUCUAUGCUGAAGGACCGACGAGUGUUUGUCAGAGAUAAAAGAAGAUAUUUAGCUUGUGUUAAUUUGAAGCAUUUUACAUUUUUUAACUCGACUUUAGCCUCUGUUUUUAUAGCUCUCUCUGUAUUCUGUACAUAAAUGUAUGCCUCUGUAUUCGCCAUGUAUAUUGAAAUAAGCCUGUGAAAUUGCUGCCAGGCAGAAUUAAUGGGUUUAGUUCUCACAUAGUGGUACAAAGAAUAUGUCCAUACUACCAGUAAAGCAAACAGUUUCCCCUUCUUUUCUGCAUGGAAUGACCCCACUCGGUCUGCCUGCCACAGUAGCUCAUUAAGAAAACCAAGAACUGAAUGUUUUGUGAGCAGCCAGGAUUUCAGAGCAAACCCCAAACACACUGUUUGUUUAGAUUUUAAGGUUGAUGGUUCCGUUAUGCUUAGGUCACAUAUAUAUUCUACAAUGUAGUUAUGAAAAGGCGUUGGGGGAGGGACACACAGGGUCCCUGAUGGGGACACCUCAUGCUAAGGAAUUAACUCUUGACUCUGUCUUCCCAAAAUGAAUUAAGAGGAUACACUCUGCAGUAUUCAGACCUCAGAGGCCGGCCCCGAUGUCUAGCCCUGCCAUGUCAAGUCGGGCCUGUCUUGGUUAGGUAUGUGCAUUUUCAUAGAGAGCUCACCAGAACAGAUCAUUUCUCAGGCUCAAAGACGCUGGCCUUGUUAAUAUUUCAUUUAGAACAUACUGUGGAGAGUGUCUCAUUUAUAUUACUUCCAUAAUUAAUGGUGAUAACUUAGGCACUGCCUUACACCGAGAGAUCUCUUCACAGUGGUCGGUGGGUAAUGAGAAACAAUAGAUAUUUCAUUCACCAGCAGCUUGUUGCUAGUUAGUAGGAAAUGAUCGUGUGUGCUGUUGCUUUAAUUGCCAGGGUAAAUAAUUCUGCCUGGGUAUUAGUGAGCAUUUUAAAGAACUUGAUGCAAAUAGACUAGAAACAAAACAAACAAACAACAAAAAAAUCACCUUGAUUAUGCAAUACCUUAGCAUAGAAAGUUACAAAGGUAUGUCUUUUUUUAAAAAAAAAAAUUGCAUUCUAUCAUGCAAAUAUUAUCUCCAUAUGCAUGUGCUGACUACUCAUGUACUGUAUUUUAGGAAAUACAAUUAGGCUGCCUUUCUCUUCCCCUCUGUAGACUGUAAAUAACUGUAGAUCUUUCUCUUGUUUCCCUAUGUAAAUAUAUGUAAAUAUUAACAAGCUAUGCAUGUUGAUAUUCUAGGCAAUUUCAGGUACUUUUAUAAUCUGAAGGCAUGUACUUGAACUGGUUUGUUAAGGGGGGGGGGGCUCUCUCAAACUCUUUAAAGCUGAAUAGAAAUUAAAGAUUUCUUCCUAGAUGAUUGUGGCU
rnacentral:lncRNA from 1 species